UGGAAAUAGAAAGGAUGGAUCUCUUAA
rnacentral:sRNA from 1 species